rnacentral:rRNA from 1 species
GUGAGGCGGAGCUAAUCCCUUAAAGCCAUUCUCAGUUCGGAUUGUAGGCUGAAACUCGCCUACAUGAAGCUGGAGUUACUAGUAAUCGCAGAUCAGAAUGCUGCGGUGAAUGCGUUCCCGGGUCUUGUACACACCGCCCGUCACACCACGGAAGUUGGGGGCGCCCGAAGCCACUUAGCUAACCCUUUUGGGAAGCGAGUGUCGAAGGUGAAAUCAAUAACUGGGGUGAAGUCGUAACAAGGUAAC